AAGACUAUACUUUCAGGGAUCAUUUCUAUAGUGAUUAACUAGGAAGUGUGUUUCGACAAAGUUAUGUCUCCCUAACCACGAUGAAGAGCAUCGAUGUGUUUCUCUGAGCGCGAAACAAGUAGUAAAUAGUGAUGUAUUUCACAUUUUACUAUUAUUGAAGAACGUUCCCCAGGCUGAUUUUGGUCUGGAGAAGAGAAACGCAUGAUCAGAGUGGU